AUGCUGUCCGCCUCCCUGAAGCCGCCGCCCUCCCUCGCGGCGCUCUCCCCGUCCUCCCGCGCCCCCGCGCCGCCCGCCGCCUCCUUCCCUGCCCCCCGCCGCAGCUGCCUCCGCCUCUCCGCGGCGGCCGCGUCCGAGGGCGCCACCGUCAGCCAGGAGGACGCCGCGUCCGUCUCCGCCGCGUUCGAGGAGGCGCGCCUGGCCCAGGUACGCCCGCACGGCCGCGCGCCGAGCCUCGCCUCAGCUGUUUACUCGCUGUUGCUGCCAGCCCACGCUUCCCCGGUAGCGGUUCUUGGCCGUUGCCGUGGUGCGCGGGAGUUGUUCGAUGCAAUGCCGGCUGGGGCUAUCACUCAUCACCAUGAGACUAUGAGACUGCCAUGUUGCAUGCAGUUCGCGUCGGACUGGAAGGCUGUGCGCGCGGACAAGGACCAGGGGAAGAUCCUCACGCUGCCCGUGCUGCGCUCAAACACCGGCGGGCUCAUCCUCAAGUACAACUCCAUGCAGGGCUUCGUGCCCAACCCUCUCCUCAGCCCCGCCCAUUGGUCUAAAGAUCCUAAGAGGCCAAUUCAAGAUGUUACAAAGGACCUAGUAGGUUCCUCUGUUUCUGUCAAGGUAGUUGAAGCAAAUGAGGCGGAAAAGAAGCUUGUAUUCUCUGAGAAGGAUGCCAGUUGGUCAAUGUACUCUUCUCAAGUAAAGAUUGGCGGUACCUAUGAUGGAAUUGUUGGUUCUGUGUUCCACUAUGGUGCAUUUGUUCACCUGCGAUUUCCUGAUGGAAAGUAUCAUCUCACUGGUCUCGUACAUAUCUCUGAGGUCUCUUGGGAUCUUGUCCAAGAUGUCCAAGAUUUUCUAACUGAAGGCGAUAUCGUCAAGGUCAUAGUGGUGAAUGUUGAUGCGGAGAAGUCAAGGAUAGGUUUAUCAAUCAGGCAAUUGGAGGAAGAUCCUCUGCUGGAGACAUUGGACAAAAUUAUUCCUUUGGAACCCGAUCUAUCACCUGAUGCUGAGACGGCAUCAUCUCCUCCAGAAAUAGAACUUCUUCCAGGACUUGAUGGUAUAUGUAAUGAACUUCUACAAGAGGACGGUAUAACAGAUGUGCGGUUCGGGCGGCAGGCAUUGGAGAAACGUGUGGUUUCACAAGAUCUAGAGCUCUGGCUUUCUAGUGUGCCAGCUAAGGACAACCAGUACAAGCUUCUUGCUCGAGCCGGGAGACAGGUUCAGGAAGUGUACCUGACGACGAGCCUAGACCAGGAGGGCGUGAAGAAGGCGGUGCAAAGAGUGCUAGGACGCGUUCCCUGA
rnacentral:rRNA from 1 species